rnacentral:lncRNA from 1 species
AGACUUCAUAUCAAAUGAGAAAAGCAGAAUUCACAUUUUGUUUAAGCCACAACCAGAUUGCAAUCUACAUUGUUGCACAAUGAACUUCUCUGCACACUUCCUGGAAGAACCAGAAUCGUAGGAGCAUGGAAGACUUAAUUCAUUCAACAGUAACUACCUCUUUUUAGCCUAAGAUUUGGCAGCCGAACAACAGAAUAGGAAUUAUGUCAGCUUUUCUGCUUAGCACGAGCUCUGCCCCAGAACCAAUGACAUAAAAUAUGUAUGUUUGCUUUCCCUGCCACAAAGUUGUGACACAUUAUCAAAGCUUUACAAAGUCACUCUAUCUUAGGACACCCCUAGACAACUUGUUUCCAUCUUACUUCUGGGACAAAAAUAUUUACUGCAUCCUGCUUUGUCUUUGUGAAUAUUACAUUAAAUGUUGACAUGUGCUUGGCAAUUCA